rnacentral:rRNA from 1 species
UGCAAGUCGAGCGGACAGAUGGGAGCUUGCUCCCUGAUGUUAGCGGCGGACGGGUGAGUAACACGUGGGUAACCUGCCUGUAAGACUGGGAUAACUCCGGGAAACCGGGGCUAAUACCGGAUGGUUGUUUGAACCGCAUGGUUCAAACAUAAAAGGUGGCUUCGGCUACCACUUACAGAUGGACCCGCGGCGCAUUAGCUAGUUGGUGAGGUAACGGCUCACCAAGGCGACGAUGCGUAGCCGACCUGAGAGGGUGAUCGGCCACACUGGGACUGAGACACGGCCCAGACUCCUACGGGAGGCAGCAGUAGGGAAUCUUCCGCAAUGGACGAAAGUCUGACGGAGCAACGCCGCGUGAGUGAUGAAGGUUUUCGGAUUGUAAAGCUCUGUUGUUAGGGAAGAACAAGUACCGUUCGAAUAGGGCGGUACCUUGACGGUACCUAACCAGAAAGCCACGGCUAACUACGUGCCAGCAGCCGCGGUAAUACGUAGGUGGCAAGCGUUGUCCGGAAUUAUUGGGCGUAAAGGGCUCGCAGGCGGUUUCUUAAGUCUGAUGUGAAAGCCCCCGGCUCAACCGGGGAGGGUCAUUGGAAACUGGGGAACUUGAGUGCAGAAGAGGAGAGUGGAAUUCCACGUGUAGCGGUGAAAUGCGUAGAGAUGUGGAGGAACACCAGUGGCGAAGGCGACUCUCUGGUCUGUAACUGACGCUGAGGAGCGAAAGCGUGGGGAGCGAACAGGAUUAGAUACCCUGGUAGUCCACGCCGUAAACGAUGAGUGCUAAGUGUUAGGGGGUUUCCGCCCCUUAGUGCUGCAGCUAACGCAUUAAGCACUCCGCCUGGGG